rnacentral:tRNA from 1 species
GCCGGUGUAGCUCAAUCGGUAGAGCAGCCGCCUUGUAAGCGGCAGGCUGGAGGUUCGAGUCCUCUCGCCGGCA